rnacentral:lncRNA from 13 species
ACUGUAAAGUCGUCAUCCUUCCUCUGCAUAUGGUGUCUAGUAGGCAUGCUUGUAGGCGAUGUGUCAUGUGUGCAUGCCAAAAUUGUGCAAUAGGGCUGGAGGAGAUGAUUGAUUAGGGGAAGUGGAGAGGAGAGAGGGUAGAACUGCCGGUUUUAGUCACCCUGAUUGAAGGUGACAUAAUAUCGUAUAGUUUCCGUCACCAUAAAAUAAUCGAGACGUGGCCUGAUAGCUACAUCAUUGGCUGAACGCGAUAGAGGCGUGGUUAACGCAGCAGAAAGUCCUAAAAGCAGGGUUGACGUUUAAAAGCGGUUCAUUCGCAGCGGAACGCAGAGAACAGUCUGUUUUACAUCCAUUUGAAUGACUACACAACAAAGAGGAAUUCUGGCGAAAUGGUGUCAAUCUUCGCUGUGCAUGUGGUGUUUCUGCUGAUUAGAUGUGCCAACUUCCUGUCCAUGCACUGUAACUGUUCUCAAGCUCCCAAUGGUACAACAACCUAUCACCUCUCAGAGCCCCCGCCUUCAAUGAAUUGUGAAACAGAGUGGGCAUAUCCAAAUGGAUCCACGCUGACCUUUAAAGGUGAAACAAAUGCAAAUCAGGUUCUGGGUCUGACCAGACAGUCCAUCACUACCACAGUCUGUCUGGGCAGCCUGAAGUAUACGGUGGACUGCGUAAAGCCUCAGGUGGUGAAUAAAGUAGAAUGUAACUGCACCAUGGAACCUAGCAGCCCCUCUAAUCCUGACCACAUCAAGGAUGUCAGACCAGGUAACCUCCCUCGAGGGAGGGAGGGAGGGAGAGAGAGAAGGAGGGAGGGAGGGAGAGAGGACACAUACACUCUUCUCCUGCUGAACAUACUGCUGUUACAUACUCUACUCCACAUCCAAAAAGAAAACACCAUUCACAAAGUUGGCCAAUUCCACCAUGGCUUCACCAGGGGAGAAGGCUCUCCUCCUCCUCUUCCUAGUCCAUGCAGUCUCAGCCCUCUACCCAGAUACAAUGUCACCGAUGUCUCCCAUGAUGCUUGACCCUGACCCCACGACCCCAGGCUUCCCAUCUCCGCCCGCUCGCUUCCAAGACAUGGCCAAGAAACUGGUAAUCAAUCAAACAACCAGUCAAUCAAUCAACCAAUCAAUCAAUAGUCUAUCUAUCGCCUGCCUUAACUGACCACCUCUGGGUGAUGUUACA